rnacentral:rRNA from 1 species
AUGAUCUUCCGCAACAGGACGUCUCUUGUGUUGACCCGUCGUUGGACCAGGAGCCACCCGAAGAAGCGAACGCGGGAGGGAGCAGCGCACCCCCAGAGGAACGUCGCGAACGACGCCUGCGCCGCCGAAUUUCUCCAGGGCGUAGACGGCCGCCGUUAUGAGGCUCCCACGCGCGCCCGAGCACAACAUCGGUCUGCGCUCGUCGUCGCCGGGGCCCGUAGCAUUAUCGCCGAUCAGGGCCAGAAGGGUAGCCCGCUCCACGGCGCCGGCAGAGGUAAGCCUGGGCACCAGCACACUGUCCAGGCCGCGCGCACGCACAUGCCACACCGUGGCCUCCUUCACCGUCGUGUGUGA